UACAGAGGGGGCAAGCGUUGUUCGGAAUUACUGGGCGUAAAGGGCGCGUAGGCGGCCUGUUAAGUCGAACGUGAAAUCCCCGGGCUCAACCCGGGAACUGCGUCCGAUACUGGCAGGCUUGAAUUCGGGAGAGGGAUGUGGAAUUCCAGGUGUAGCGGUGAAAUGCGUAGAUAUCUGGAGGAACACCGGUGGCGAAGGCGACAUCCUGGACCGACAUUGACGCUGAGGCGCGAAAGCCAGGGGAGCAAACGGG
rnacentral:rRNA from 1 species